rnacentral:hammerhead_ribozyme from 1 species
AUCCAGCUGACGAGUUCUAAACAAGACGAAACGCGCGUCCUGGAU